rnacentral:misc_RNA from 1 species
ACACACACACACACACACACACUUCUCUUAUUUCUUUCAUCUCUUUCCUCUUUCCCUCUCAUACUCCAUUAAAGCUUAAUCUUGAGCUUGAGCAACCCCCCUAAACUAGCCCUAAAACCCUUAGUUCUCUUAAUUAAAACUUGAAAUUUGACCUUGGUAAGAAGAGUGGUGAAGAAGAAAUUAAAAAGGGAAGUAGAAAAGUGAAGAUUUGAAAAGCUACAAGAGGUUAGUGACAAAUUCUUCAAAUUAUCUAUUGAAUUCUUGUUUAAGUAAUUGAUGUAAGUUAGAAAUUAACUUUAAAUGGAAAGAAAACAAUUAUGGAGGGACUAUAUAUGAGUUCAACCAGCUAGGGUUUAUGUUUGAAAUGGGUGAUUUGAUGCAAAUUAGAAAGUAGUUAAGUGAGAAUAAGUGAAUAAGAACUAAAUAUGCAUUUAUAAUUCAAAAAAUGAACUAAACAUGGAACUUAGAGUUUUGCACUUAGGGUUUAUGAACCAAAAAUGCAAGAAAUGAGUAAAUGGCAUGUUUGACCUAUUGUGAAGUGAAAAAUGGUCAAUUGUGACCAAAUGAGUUGUGUUUGAAUUGUUGGAAUGGAAGCUAAAUUCGGAGGGUGUAUGCAGCAUGACCAAGUCAACUUUGAAGGACCAAAACAAAAAUUUUACAAGUCCAAUUGAUA